CGUGUAGGCGGUCGGUCCAGUCCGGUGUGAAAGCCCGGGGCUCAGCCCCGGAAGUGCAUCGGAAACUAGCCGACUUGAGCGCGAUAGAGGAGGGUGGAAUUCCUGGUGUAGCGGUGAAAUGCGUAGAUAUCAGGAGGAACACCGGCGGCGAAGGCGGCCCUCUGGAUCGUUGCUGACGCUGAGACGCGAAAGCGUGGGGAGCAAACA
rnacentral:rRNA from 1 species